UGGGGAAUUUUGCACAAUGGGGGAAACCCUGAUGCAGCGACGCCGCGUGAUUUAGAAGGCCUUCGGGUUGUAAAAAUCUUUUCUAUGGGAAGAAAAUGACAGUACCAUAGGGAUAAGGACCGGCUAAUUACGUGCCAGCAGCCGCGGUAAUACGUAAGGUCCGAGCGUUGUCCGGAAUCAUUGGGCGUAAAGGGUACGUAGGCGGGUAAGCAAGUUAGAAGUGAAAUCCUAUAGCUCAACUAUAGGAAGCUUUUAAAACUGCUCAUCUUGAGAUAUGGAAGGGAAAGUGGAAUUCCUAGUGUAGCGGUGAAAUGCGCAGAUAGUAGGAGGAAUACCGGUAGCGAAGGCGACUUUCUGGCCAUAACCUGACGCUGAGGUACGAAAGCGUGGGUAGCAAACAGG
rnacentral:rRNA from 1 species